CCAGUCGGCCGGGCGGCCGCUCCCGCGAGGGAGAGGAAAGUCCGGGCUCCACGGAGACACGGCGCCGGACAACGUCCGGCGGGGGCGACCCCAGGGACAGCGCCACAGAAAACGGACCGCCGGCCAUCCGGCCGGUCAGGGUGAAAAGGUGCGGUAAGAGCGCACCGCGGACGCGGCGACGCGGACGGCAUGGCAAGCCCCGCCGGGAGCAAAACCGAAUAGGGACGACAGGCGGCGCAAGCCGUGGAGCCCGUUUCCGGGCGGUCGUCCGGGUUGGUCGCAUGAGGCGCCCGGCGACGGGCGUCCCAGAGGAAUGGCCGCCGGCGCGGGGGCGACUCCGCGCGCACAGAACCCGGCUUAUAGGCCGACUGGCGCU
rnacentral:RNase_P_RNA from 1 species